UGCAAGUCGAGCGGAUGACGGGAGCUUGCUCCUUGAUUCAGCGGCGGACGGGUGAGUAAUGCCUAGGAAUCUGCCUGGUAGUGGGGGACAACGUUUCGAAAGGAACGCUAAUACCGCAUACGUCCUACGGGAGAAAGCAGGGGACCUUUGGGCCUUGCGCUAUCAGAUGAGCCUAGGUCGGAUUAGCUAGUUGGUGGGGUAAUGGCUCACCAAGGCGACGAUCCGUAACUGGUCUGAGAGGAUGAUCAGUCACACUGGAACUGAGACACGGUCCAGACUCCUACGGGAGGCAGCAGUGGGGAAUAUUGGACAAUGGGCGAAAGCCUGAUCCAGCCAUGCCGCGUGUGUGAAGAAGGUCUUCGGAUUGUAAAGCACUUUAAGUUGGGAGGAAGGGCAGUAAGUUAAUACCUUGCUGUUUUGACGUUACCGACAGAAUAAGCACCGGCUAACUCUGUG
rnacentral:rRNA from 1 species